GACGAACGCUGGCGGCGUGCCUAAUACAUGCAAGUAGAACGCUGAAGGAGGAGCUUGCUUCUCUGGAUGAGUUGCGAACGGGUGAGUAACGCGUAGGUAACCUGCCUGGUAGCGGGGGAUAACUAUUGGAAACGAUAGCUAAUACCGCAUAACAGUAGAUAUCGCAUGAUAUCUACUUGAAAGGUGCAAUUGCAUCACUACCAGAUGGACCUGGGUGGUAUUAGCUAGUUGGUGAGGUAACGGCUCACCAAGGCGACGAUACAUAGCCGACCUGAGAGGGUGAUCGGCCACACUGGGACUGAGACACGGCCCAGACUCCUACGGGAGGCAGCAGUAGGGAAUCUUCGGCAAUGGACGGAAGUCUGACCGAGCAACGCCGCGUGAGUGAAGAAGGUUUUCGGAUCGUAAAGCUCUGUUGUAAGAGAAGAACGAGUGUGAGAGUGGAAAGUUCACACUGUGACGGUAUCUUACCAGAAAGGGACGGCUAACUACGUG
rnacentral:rRNA from 1 species